CAGUGUGGGUUGUGGAGUGAAGCAGGAAGCUCUGCAGAGUUCCUUGGUCAAAAGGAUGAAUUACAAAAGAACCCCAAGAACACCAAGAAGAAGAGAAGGGAAUCCUGGGCAUAUAAAGCCACAAAGAAACUUGAUAUGGUCUUGUCUCCUUCUCCCAACUGACAGUGAGAAACUGAAGACCAGAGAGGAUGAGUAACUUACCCAGUUUGGCAGUCAGACUAGGAAGAUACAUCCAAAAAGGAAGUGAUUGCACCACUGUACCCCAGCCUGGGCGAGAAAUUCGCUGGCAGUGUCAGCCGCUGUCUCCCUGCACGUCAUCCGUCUGAUAUCCCCAAUACCUAGUGCAGUACUAGGCACACACUGUACUUCAAAAGGAAGCAUUAGUCUGCAUUAAUUAUCACCAGUGCAUUCGUCUAUCUAUUGUCUGUUCAUUCAACAAAUAUUUAGUAAGAACCAGGCAUUGAACUCGUGGUUAACGAGGAGCUUCCAUUCUGGUUGGAAGAGGCAGACGGUAAGCAGCACGAAUGGGCAAGUCCACGGAAAGACGGUUUCAAAUAGAGCUAAGUGCAAUGAAGAAGGUAAACCAGGUAAGGAGAUAGAGAAUGACAGCAGGAGGGACACACCUGACCUGGUGCCAUUUGAGCCAAGGCUUGCAUCAUAAAGAGUCAGACAGGAAACAAUCCAGAAGAAGAGUGUUCUAGACACAACGCAUAGCACAUGCAAAGGGCCUGAGGUCACAGCAAUGUGAUGUCUUCCAGGAUCUGGGAGGAGGCCAGUGUAGCUGGGACUGGGGGAGUAGAAAUCUGAGAAAGCAGAGAGGAUGGAAAGCGAGGGUGGAAAGAGUAGGCAGGGGCUGUGGUGAUCCUACCAGCCUAGUGAGCCGGGAAAACCAUGCAUUCUAUUCUAAAUGGGAUGGUUAAGCAUUGAAGGUUUUUAAUGAGAAUGACAUGCUCUGUUGGUGGUUUAGACCAUGUCUGCAAACUCUCUGAUGCUUCUUCUCUGGAAGAUGAGGUCUGGGACUCCUCCCCUGGAGUUGGGCAGGCCUUUGAGAUCGUUUGGAUGGCUUGACUGGCAGAAAUGACUCUGUGUGACUGUCAAGGUUAGGUGAGUAGAGAAGCUUCUGCCUGGGCCCUGUCUCAGGAUGCACGCUUUAGGAGCUGCGUUGUAAGGAGUCCUUGUAAGGAGUCCAGCUACCCUGGACUCCUUAUAGAGAGGCCACAGAAAGGUAAUAGAGAGUUCCAGAAGCCUCUGCCUCACUAGCCUCUGCUGUUUGGGUAUUCCCAGCCCAGGUGCCAGACACGGGGGUGAAGAAGUCUUCAGAUGACCCCAGUCUAGCCCUCCCUGAGGAUCGAGUGCAUGAGAGAUCCCGAGCCACAGCCACCCAGCCCUGCUCCUCUCGAAUUUCUGAACUACAGGAACUACGAGAAAUAAUGAAAGACUGCUGUUUAAAGCCACUGCAUUUUGGCGUGAUUUGUUAUGCAGUCAUAGAUAACCAGAAAACAUCGGAUUUACAUUUUAAGGUAAACUUUUUAUUGAAACAUCACAUACAAACAGAGACAUCCACAAAUUGGCUCAGUGAGCUUUCUCAAAGGAAACACAUUCUCUGAGCAGUGUGCACAUCUGGACACAUCAUCUCCAUCCUCCAGAAGCUCCCUCCUGUUACUGCCACUCACAGGUCACCCGUCUCCUGACUUGGAGCCACAGAGAUAGUCCUGCCUAUUUCUGAACGUGGUAUAAAUGGAAUCAUAUGGAAUGGGGUUGGUUUCUUCACUCUGGGCUGUGCUUAUGAGAAUCACCCAGAUUGUUGCAUGGAGCCAUCGUUUAUUCAUUUUCACCACCAUAGAGUAUCCCACUGUUGAUGGGACACAGGCUAUUUAUUCCUUCUACUGUUGAGGGACACACAGUUAUUUCCAGCUGGAGACUGGUAUAUGUCUCUUAGCUACCUUCUGCAUGCAUUUCUGUUGGAGGUUGUUUCAGGUAUCUCUUAACGUAUAACAGACCAUCCUCAAAUUGAGUCCUUGAAACAAUAACCAUUUUCUUCUUUCUCAGGAUUUGGUUCAUGGGAUGGGCUCAGCUGGGCAGUUCUUCUGUUCCAUGUGAUGGUACUAGGGCUGCAGUCAUUCAGAGGCUCAACUGGGCCGAAGGUGCAAGGUUUCUUGCUCAUGUGGCCAUCAGUGGUGCUUGCUGCUAUUGGGAGCUCCACUGGACUUUUGACCAGAGCUCCUCAGCUUACCUCUGUGUAUCCUUGCCAUGUGGCUAAAGCUUCUAACAACACAGAGGCUGGAUUCCAAGAGGAGGGAAGUAGAAGCUUUCAGCCUUCUUAAGACCAGGAUUCAGAUGUCCCAGACUGUCAUUGUAUGGACCAGAGCAUUUACAGGCCAGCCCAGUAAUUUUUCCACCUCUGGGCAAGAACAGGUAGCAUAUGCCGAGGGUAGGGAUAGCAUUGUUGGGGACCAUCUUUGGAGCAGUAUGCCAAGGAGUAAAUUGCUGGGCUGCUUUCUACCUGGGGAAGUCCACUGUGCUUGCUUGUGGAGAGUGGAUUGUGUGCUCAGAGUCCACCAGGAUUUAAGAAUCAGCUCCCAGCCCUGCUCCCCUUGCCUCAGCCCGUGCAUUAGGGCCCUGUGGUGAGAGCACUGAGUCAUUGUGAAUCAAGGCCCCUCCCUCAACCUGCGUACUGACAGGCGAGAGGAGCUUUCUUGAUUUUGGUCCUAGGCUUCUGCCUGUGGGUUGGAUUCCAGGGGCACUCCAUCCUCCACAAACCAGUGACAGGUGCAGCCCUUCCAUGGAAGUUGUCCACACUUCACCCUAAAGACAGAUCCUGCUGUUCAGCAGCAAUGUGAGUGGCCCACACAUUUGCCCAGCAUGAAACCGUUUUCAAAUUCCUUUCCAAUACACAGUCCCAUCAGCCAGUCACAUCACGAUGACAGCUCCUCAAAACACCUUUUGGUUUGCAGUUGCGUAGCUGAGAAGUAGGAGCCUGCACAACUUCAGGACUUCACAGAAAGAACACACUUUGUGCUUCGAGAAGUUAAUUAUGGGAAUAUCUUGCAACCUGCUGCUCUGAGCCUGUGCACCUGGGGUGUUUCCCCGGAGGUCCUGUGUAUGAGGAUACUCAUCAGCAUGGGGUUUGGGGAAGCCUAGCACUGGAGGCAACCUAGGUGGUCCUCUCCAGGGGAGUGGGUAAGAGCCCUGCAGUGUAUGCAUAUGAGGGGAUCCUAUGCAGCAGUGAAAAGCAUUGAAGGGAAAGUAUGUUCAGCAGUGCUCUGAAUCUGAUCAGAGCAACCUGAACACAUUUUAAACACAGGGCAUUUAGAACUAGGGUAGAGGCACAAACUCAGAUUCUGAAGGUAAAUGUCCAGGUUCCAAUCCAAGCCCCCUCACCAACUGACCACGACUCCCCCAAGUUACCUGACCUCUGUGUUUACAUCCUCAAAGUUAAGUAGUCAGGAAAGGGGGCUUGGGGCUUGCCACAUGAAUGGUUGCUGCUCUCCUUUGCAAAGUGUAGUCCCCAAAAACAGGUGGAAGAGGAAAAGGUCCAAUUAGAAGGCUGAGUACCAGCUGCCGUGAAUAUGCCAGAGCCGCUGGCUAGUGAUAUAUAAGUCAAACCCGGUGGGACAGUAGAGCUAGGGUGACCUUACAUUCUACGAAAGAAAAGAUGCCUGUUGUCCUGGCUUUUUAUCCAGCUUAGACAAAGAUGGGCAAAGAAAAUAAUUUAGAAAAUGGUAGAGAGGGGCACAGAGAAAGGGCACAGAUGGAAGCACAAAUAGAAGGCCAAGUGAUGGUGGAGGCAGACACUGGAGAAAUGCCUUUGCAAGCCAGGGAAUGCCAAGGAUGCUGGUGACCCCGGGAGCGGGAUGAACCUGAAACACACUCUCCCUCAGAGUCCCCAGAAGGAACCGGCCCUGCAUCACCUUUUGGACUUCUGGCCUCCAGAACUACACAAGAAAACAUUUCUGCUAUUGGAGGCCAUCCAGCUGGUGGUCGUUUGUUAUGGUCACCACAGAAAAAAAUAUAGAUUUAGGCAUCUAAUUUGCAUAUAUAGAUGUGCAUGUGUAUUUGUUAAAUAAAACAUAAGGCAUAAUAACUCAAUGGACAGCAAUACAACUCAUUAAAUUGUGUUGGUUAAAAAAA